rnacentral:rRNA from 1 species
CUACGAGUUUGAUCAUGGCUCAGAUUGAACGCUGGCGGUAUGCUUAAGACAUGCAAGUCGUGCGGUAGAAGGCUUCGGCCUUUGAGAGCGGCGGACGGGUGAGUAACGCGUGGGAAUCUACCCUAGAGCGGGGGACAACCCGGGGAAACCCGGGCUAAUACCGCAUACGUCCUACGGGAGAAAGAGGGCCUCUGCUUGCACGCUCUCACUCCAGGAUGAGCCCACGUCCGAUUAGCUAGUUGGUAGGGUAAAGGCCUACCAAGGCCACGAUCGGUAGCUGGUCUGAGAGGAUGAUCAGCCACACUGGGACUGAGACACGGCCCAGACUCCUACGGGAGGCAGCAGUGGGGAAUAUUGGACAAUGGGCGCAAGCCUGAUCCAGCAAUGCCGCGUGUGUGAAGAAGGCCUGCGGGUUGUAAAGCACUUUCAGUGGGGAAGAACAGAUUCGGGUCAAUACCCCGGAGCCCUGACGUUACCCACAGAAGAAGCACCGGCUAACUCCGUG